AUCGCAAAAUAUGUGAAGCUUGAGAAUGCGGAUGUUUAUGCGUUUCGGGGGGCUUCCAUUGGAGAAAUAACCUAUCAGCUUAACAAGAACAAGGGGAGUAUUUAUGAAGGUUAUAAAUGUUUAGUUAUUCAUUGUGGUACCAAUGAUAUUCAUAUUUUAUCUAUUGAUCAGUUUAAGUCUGCCUAUUGUAAUUUAAUUUCUACCGCCAAGUUGUUGUUUCCUUCUAUGGUUAUUGCUUUGUCUGGUAUUCUUCCUCGUCCUGUUGAUUUUGAGGAAACGGGUCAGAAGAUAAAGGAUGUUAAUAUGGCUUUGUUAAAUUUAUGUUUGAGUUAUGAAGUCGAAUUCAUUCAUUCGUAUAGAUAUUUUUGAAAUGUGGAAAGCCAAAGGUGGAGCUAUUUGCCUAUAAAGAUGGUGGGUUACAUCUCAAUUGUGAAGGUACAAGGCAGUUAGGUUUAUAUUUUAAAAGAAGGGUUGCUCAUUUAAUUUAGAUAGGUUAACUUGUCAUUUGAGAUGAAUUUCUCAAGUGGAGUUAAAGGAUUAGAUAUGGUUGAAUUUCAUGUUUCUACCAUACUUCCUUUGGGUUUUUUUAGUUUAUGGUUGAUAUUAUUUCUUCCAUACUAAAAUUUGGAUUAUUUUUAUUUUAUUUUCCUUAAUAUGUAUUGGU
rnacentral:lncRNA from 1 species